GGUAGUAUGACAGAGUGGUGUAAGGCAUUGGUUUCAGGCACCAGUCUCUUUGGAGAAGUGGGUUCGAAUCCCACCGCUGCCA
rnacentral:tRNA from 1 species